rnacentral:rRNA from 1 species
GAUGAACGCUGGCUACAGGCUUAACACAUGCAAGUCGAGGGAAACGACGGGAAGCUUGCUUCCCCGGGCGUCGACCGGCGCACGGGUGAGUAACGCGUAUCCAACCUGCCUCUGACUGAGGGAUAACCCGUCGAAAGUCGGCCUAAUACCUCAUGGCAUCGUCUGCGGGCAUCCAACGACGAUUAAAGAUUUCAUCGGUCAGGGAUGGGGAUGCGUCUGAUUAGCUUGUUGGCGGGGUAACGGCCCACCAAGGCGACGAUCAGUAGGGGUUUUGAGAGGAAGGUCCCCCACAUUGGAACUGAGACACGGUCCAAACUCCUACGGGAGGCAGCAGUGAGGAAUAUUGGUCAAUGGGCGAGAGCCUGAACCAGCCAAGUAGCGUGCAGGAUGACGGCCCUAUGGGUUGUAAACUGCUUUUAUGCGGGGAUAAAGUGAGGGACGUGUCCUUCAUUGCAGGUACCGCAAAUAAGGACGGCUACCC